rnacentral:rRNA from 1 species
AACGAACGCUGGCGGCAUGCCUAACACAUGCAAGUCGAACGAGACCUUCGGGUCUAGUGGCGCACGGGUGCGUAACGCGUGGGAACCUGCCCUUAGGUUCGGAAUAACUCCCCGAAAGGGGUGCUAAUACCGGAUAAUGUCUUCGGACCAAAGAUUUAUCGCCUUUGGAUGGGCCCGCGUUGGAUUAGCUAGUUGGUAGGGUAAAAGCCUACCAAGGCGACGAUCCAUAGCUGGUCUGAGAGGAUGAUCAGCCACACUGGGACUGAGACACGGCCCAGACUCCUACGGGAGGCAGCAGUGGGGAAUAUGGGACAAUGGGCGAAAGCCUGAUCCAGCAAGGCCGCGUGAGUGAUGAAGGCCUUAGGGUGGUAAAGCUCUUUUACCCGGGAUGAUAAUGACAGGACCGGGAGAAGAAGCUCCGGCUAACUCCGU